UCCGGGCGCGUUCGCCUUGGUGACUCUGGAUAACUUUGCGGAUCGCACGGUCUAGCACCGGCGACGGAUCAUUCAAGUGUCUGCCCUAUCAACUUUCGUCGGUACGGUAUUUGCCUACCGAGGUUCUUACGGGUGACGGGGAAUCAGGGUUCGAUUCCGGAGAGGGAGCCUGAGAAACGGCUACCACAUCCAAGGAAGGCAGCAGGCGCGCAAAUUACCCAUUCCCGACGCGGGGAGGUAGUGACGAAAAAUAACAAUGCAGGACUCGUUCGAGGCCCUGUAAUUGGAAUGAGUACACUUUAAAAGCUUUAACGAGUAUCCAUUGGAGGGCAAGUCUGGUGCCAGCAGCCGCGGUAAUUCCAGCUCCAAAAGUAUAUAUUUAAGUUGUUGCGGUUAAAAAGCUCGUAGUUGGAUUUUGGGCGCAGGCGGCCGGUCCGUCGCAAGGCGUGUACUGGACGUCCUGGCCUUCCCUCCGGUUCUCCGCCGGUGCUCUUGACUGAGUGUCGGCGGCGGCCGGAACGUUUACUUUGAAAAAAUUAGAGUGUUCAAAGCAGGCUCUCGAGCCUGGAUAAUGGUGCAUGGAAUAAUGGAAUAGGACCUCGGUUCUAUUUUGUUUGGUUUUCGGAGCGCGAGGUAAUGAUUAAGAGGGACAGACGGGGGCAUUCGUACUGUGCCGUUAGAGGUGAAAUUCUUGGAUCGGCGCAAGACGAACGACUGCGAAAGCAUUUGCCAAGAAUGUUUUCUUUAAUCAAGAGCGAAAGUCAGAGGUUCGAAGACGAUCAGAUACCGUCCUAGUUCUGACUAUAAACGAUGCCAACUAGCGAUCGGGGGGCGUUACAUUGACGACCCCUCCGGCAGCUUACGGGAAACCAAAGUCUUUGGGUUCCGGGGGAAGUAUGGUUGCAAAGCUGAAACUUAAAGGAAUUGACGGAAGGGCACCACCAGGAGUGGAGCCUGCGGCUUAAUUUGACUCAACACGGGAAAUCUCACCCGGCCCGGACACAGUGAGGAUUGACAGAUUGAGAGCUCUUUCUUGAUUCUGUGGGUGGUGGUGCAUGGCCGUUCUUAGUUGGUGGAGCGAUUUGUCUGGUUAAUUCCGAUAACGAACGAGACUCUGGCUUGCUAAAUAGUUACGCGACCAUCCCGGUCGGCGUUUAACUUCUUAGAGGGACAAGUGGCGUUUAGCCACACGAGAUGAGCAAU
rfam:Ciona savignyi cont_42657, whole genome shotgun sequence.